UACGAAGGGUGCAAACGUUGCUCGGAAUUAUUGGGCGUAAAGCGCACGUAGGCGGCAUCGCAAGUCGGAUGUGAAAUCUUAUGGCUUAACCAUAAAAGUGCAUCCGAAACUGCAGUGCUUGAGUACUUAAGAGGAUCGCGGAAUUCCCGGUGUAGAGGUGAAAUUCGUAGAUAUCGGGAGGAACACCAGUGGCGAAGGCGGCGAUCUGGGAAGAUACUGACGCUGAGGAGCGAAAGCGUGGGGAGCGAUCCGG
rnacentral:rRNA from 1 species